rnacentral:rRNA from 1 species
AGAGUUUGAUCCUGGCUCAGGACGAACGCUGGCGGCGGGCUUAAUACAUGCAAGUCAAACGAGCAGCCCCGACUUGUCGGGGUGGGCGAGUGGCGCACGGGUGAGUAACGCGUAGGCAACCUGCCGUAGAGUGGGGAAUAACCCCGGGAAACCGGGGCUAAUACCGCAUACCGUACCGAAUCACAUGUUUCGGUAUGAAAGCCUUCGGGCGCUCUACGAUGGGCCUGCGUUGGAUUAGCUUGUUGGUAGGGUAACGGCCUACCAAGGCUGCGAUCCAUAGCUGGUCUGAGAGGAUGAUCAGCCACACUGGCACUGAGACACGGGCCAGACUCCUACGGGAGGCAGCAGUAAGGAAUAUUGCGCAAUGGACGAAAGUCUGACGCAGCCACGCCGCGUGCAGGAUGACACCCCUACGGGGCGUAAACUGCUUUUAUGCGAGAAGAACCCCCUGGACGUGUCCAGGGACUGACGGUAUCGCACGAAUAAGGACCGGCUAACUCCGUGCCAGCAGCCGCGGUAAUACGGAGGGUCCAAGCGUUGUCCGGAUUUAUUGGGUGUAAAGGGUGCGCAGGCGGGUUUGUAAGUCAGAGGUGAAAUCCCACGGCCUAACCGUGGAACUGCCUUUGAUACUGCAAAUCUUGUGUCCUGGAGAGGUCACUGGAAUUCGUGGUGUAGCGGUGAAAUGCGUAGAUAUCACGAGGAACGCCGGAGGUGUAGACGAGUGACUGGACAGGUACUGACGCUGAGGCACGAAAGCGUGGGGAGCAAACAGGAUUAGAUACCCUGGUAGUCCACGCUGUAAACGAUGGAUACUCGGUGUUGGUCCUUUAUUAUUGGAGCGGCGCCUAAGCUAACGCAUUAAGUAUCCCACCUGGGGAGUACGAUCGCAAGGUUGAAACUCAAAGGAAUUGACGGGGGCCCGCACAAGCGGUGGAGCAUGUGGCUUAAUUCGAUGCAACGCGAGGAACCUUACCUGGGCUCGAACACUACCGGACAACCUCUGAAAGGGGGUCUUCUUCGGACUGGUAGUGAGGUGCUGCAUGGCUGUCGUCAGUUCGUGUCGUGAGAUGUUGGGUUAAGUCCCGCAACGAACGCAACCCCUAUCGUUAGUUACCAGCGGAUAAUGCCGGGGACUCUAACGAGACUGCCUGCGCAAGCGGUGAGGAAGGUGGGGAUGACGUCAAGUCAUCAUGGCCUUUAUGCCUAGGGCUGCACACGUGCUACAAUGGUCGGUACAACGGGCUGCCACUUCGCGAGAAGGAGCUAAUCCUGAAAGCCGGCCUCAGUUCGGAUCGAAGUCUGCAACUCGACUUCGUGAAGUCGGAAUCGCUAGUAAUCGCGUAUCAGCAAUGACGCGGUGAAUACGUUCCCGGGCCUUGUACACACCGCCCGUCAAGCCAUGGAAGCUGGGGGCGCCCGAAGUCCGUGACCCAACCUUAGGGAGGGAGCGGCCGAAGGUGAAACCAGUGACUGGGGCUAAGUCGUAACAAGGUA